UACGUAGGAGGCGAGCGUUGUCCGGAGUUACUGGGCGUAAAGCGCAUGCAGGCGGUCGCCUAAGUUCGUGAUGACAGUUCCCGGCUUAACUGGGAAAGUGUUACGAAGACUGGACGACUUGAGGGCUUCAGAGGGAUGUGGAACUCCGGGUGGAGUGGUGAAAUGCGUAGAUAUCCGGAAGAACACCGAAGGCGAAGGCAGCAUCCUGGGAAGUACCUGACGCUCAGAUGCGAAAGCCAGGGGAG
rnacentral:rRNA from 1 species